GUGGAGGUUGAGGACUUCAGGGCACAACUGAAGGAGAGUAGCCUGGCUUUGUUCACCUUUUAACAAGAAUUUUUAGAAGCGUUUGCAGUGGUCCAGGAUAAGAGAUGUGGGUGCAGAGGAAAGGGUGGAAGGCAGUAGAAAUGGAAAGGAGUGAUGGAUUUGGGUUUUGUUUUCAAGGGUUUGGCGAUAGAUUGGAGGUGGGGUUUUAGGGAGAGGGAGGUGUGUCAAGGAUUCCCAAUAACUCACGUGAUCGAUUGGAUGACUGUUGGUGCAGUUAACUGAGGUGGGGUAGGCUAAGUUAGGAGCUGUUCUGGACAUGUUCAAUUUGAGGUCUUGGUGAUUCAUGUAAGUGAGAAUGACUGUCAGGGCCCAAGACAGGCCGCCCCCAAAAUAUCCUACAAUGGUAUAUUGACUACUUUGAAUUAAAGUUGCUUGACAAGCAGCUGGUGCCUGAAAGGCACUUUGACUUGCUCUUAUCUCCUUGAAUGCAGGAAAUAAAUGUCCCAUGUGAAAGGUGUCCCCCUGCUCGUGGAAGACACCCCUUAUCGCUUGAGUUAAACAGCUCAGAGCCAAACAGUCCGUAUAAACAAAUCUUGGCCUUUAUGAAUUUACUGCUUGAGCCCAAAUCUUGCUUAGAUACCCUUUUAAACAGCACUAACUUUCUUUGUCUUGUCACUUUCUCACAAGUUUAUUGUUUCUUUGUAUAAAAAAUAUAAAAAUUCCUGGUUUCAUAAUUUUUUUGGAGCCCCAUUUUAUUCGAACAUCAUGUUAUGAUUUCACAUGUGCACACAUUAAAUUGUUUUUUCUUCUGUUAAUCUAGUCAUGUCCAUUUUAUGAUUUUAUUACUAGUCCAGCCAUAAGAACUAAAGACGAGUAAAAGAGGAAAGUCCUCCCCCACACAACACAACAGGAAGCUGAAUGUUCACAUUUGAUCGUCCUCAUAGAAGAGAUCUGGACAGAAGAUGUUACUUUGGGAAUCGUUGGUAUAUUAAUGAAACCUUGUUCUCUCAGAGGACUUUUCCUCGUCAACCUUCUCAAGUGGAAGAUGACUACACUCUUGCACUCCAGGUGGGAAACAGGUGUGCUCCAUGGUCUUCAUUACCAAUUUCAGGCCAUUCUUACCCUAAUCUCCCUAAAACCCACACACUUUUAAUCUCACACUAUAAAACCAUAACACUCACUACUCCUCUUUACUGCAGUUAUCUGUGAAUUCUGGUUCUCACCAACUUGUGCCUAUAAGAUUUUAAAUCCUGACCUGUCUCUAAUAUUAUCCUUAUCGUAUUUUGAUCGCCUAUUAUGAGCAUCUUUACCUCCCUCAACCUUAAUUUUCACCAGUUCCUCAUCCUAUAAGUCCUUAAACCUGGGAUCAAUCCAACCUCUUGUGCCUGACACCUGGGUUACAGAAUGCUGCUGGAUAAAGUCACAUAGUGUGGCAGACUGGUGCCACUAGAAAUUGAGAACAACAGUUGGGAUUAGGCCCAGGAGAAUCUUUACAAAAAAAGACACUUGAAGCAUAAACUCUACUGGACAAGACAAUUAGAUUGUAAUAGGUGCUGUGAAGGAAGUAAUGUGCUAUCAUGGGGCAUAGGGAGAAACUUGAGAUAGGAUGCUCUGAGAUUGGUCUCCGGUGACAGAGACCUGGGGUAAACUGAGACCUGAAGGAAAAAAAAAAAAAACAGGCAGAAGGAACAUCAAGUGUAAAAA